rnacentral:rRNA from 1 species
CUUCCGCCGGCAACCGGCGCACGGGUGAGUAACACGUAUGCAACCUGCCCCUGUCAGGGGGACAACCCGCCGAAAGGCGGGCUAAACCCGCGUACAUGCCACCGGGGCAUCCCGGAGGCAGGAAAGGCUUCGGCCGGACAGGGAUGGGCAUGCGGCGCAUUAGGCAGUAGGCGGGGUAACGGCCCACCUAACCGACGAUGCGUAGGGGUUCUGAGAGGAAGGUCCCCCACACUGGUACUGAGACACGGACCAGACUCCUACGGAAGGCAGCAG